rnacentral:rRNA from 1 species
UACAGAGGGGGCAAGCGUUGUUCGGAAUUACUGGGCGUAAAGGGCGCGUAGGCGGCCUUCUAAGUCGAACGUGAAAUCCCCGGGCUCAACCCGGGAACUGCGUCCGAUACUGGAAGGCUUGAAUCCGGGAGAGGGAUGCGGAAUUCCAGGUGUAGCGGUGAAAUGCGUAGAUAUCUGGAAGGAACACCGGUGGCGAAGGCGGCAUCCUGGACCGGCAUUGACGCUGAGGCGCGAAAGCCAGGGAGCAAACGGG